AUUGAACGCUGGCGGCAUGCCUUACACAUGCAAGUCGAACGGUAACAGGUCUUCGGAUGCUGACGAGUGGCGAACGGGUGAGUAAUACAUCGGAACGUGCCUAGUAGUGGGGGAUAACUACUCGAAAGAGUGGCUAAUACCGCAUGAGAUCUACGGAUGAAAGCAGGGGAUCGCAAGACCUUGUGCUACUAGAGCGGCCGAUGGCAGAUUAGGUAGUUGGUGGGAUAAAAGCUUACCAAGCCGACGAUCCGUAGCUGGUCUGAGAGGACGAUCAGCCACACUGGGACUGAGACACGGCCCAGCCUCCUACGGGAGGCAGCAGUGGGGAAUUUUGGACAAUGGGCGCAAGCCUGAUCCAGCAAUGCCGCGUGCAGGAUGAAGGCCUUCGGGUUGUAAACUGCUUUUGUACGGAACGAAAAGCCCUGGGUUAACACCCUGGGGUCAUGACGGUACCGUAAGAAUAAGCACCGGCUAACUACGUGCCAGCAGCCGCCGUAA
rnacentral:rRNA from 1 species